CAGUCGCCACGGUAAUACGAAGGUCCCGAGCGUUGUUCGGAAUCACUGGGCGUAAAGGGAGCGUAGGCGGCGUGGUAAGUCAGAUGUGAAAUCCCGGGGCUCAACCCCGGAACUGCAUCCGAUACUGCCAUGCUAGAGGAUUGGAGAGGUAGCUGGAAUUCUUGGUGUAGCAGUGAAAUGCGUGGAGAUCAAGAGGAACACUCGUGGCGAAAGCGAGCUACUGGACAAUAACUGACGCUGAGGCUCGAAGGCCAGGGUAGCGAAAGGGAUUAGAUACCCCAGUAGUCCCUGUCUCUUAUAC
rnacentral:rRNA from 1 species